rnacentral:rRNA from 1 species
AUACGAAGGGGGCAAGCGUUGUUCGGAAUAACUGGGCGUAAAGCGCACGUAGGCGGAUUGUUUAGUUAGAGGUGAAAUCCCAGGGCUCAACCCUGGAACUGCCUUUAAUACUGGCAGUCUAGAGACCGAGAGAGGUGAGUGGAAUUCCGAGUGUAGAGGUGAAAUUCGUAGAUAUUCGGAGGAACACCAGUGGCGAAGGCGGCUCACUGGCUCGGUACUGACGCUGAGGUGCGAAAGCGUGGGGAGCAAACGGGAUUAGAAACCCUAGUAGUCC